GAUUUCAUCCUUUCCAGAGCCAACUUGUGGAGUGUGCAAACAAUCCUCGGGACAGAAGACGUGACCAGUUGGCACGAAAUAAUGAGGAGCCUUCUCGCCGAGUUCUUCGGAACAUUCUUCCUCGUCUUCAUCGGAUGCGGGUCCUGCAUCGCCAUAGGCCCUGUGCCAUCUAUCGUACAGAUCGCACUUUGUUUCGGCUUCGUCAUCGCCACGGCUGUUCAGUGUUUCGGCCAUGUAAGCGGUUGCCACAUAAAUCCAGCGGUCACCCUCGGUCUUUUCACAUGUGGAAGGUGCGGCCUUCUAAAAUGCGUUGCUUACAUCCCGACCCAGUGUGCAGGAGCUGUGGCCGGGGCUGGUCUUCUUAUGUAUGUAUUGCCGGAAAAUCAAGACACGUGGGGUGUCACCAAAGUUGCCGAACUUUUGACGGCCAACCAAGGAUUUGCCAUCGAAGCCGUGAUCACUGGGCUUUUGAUCUUAGUCGUAUGCGCCGUGACUGACCCGAACAGGCUAGACCUAUCAAACGCGGCACCUGUUGCUGUUGGAUUAACAAUCGCAGCUUGUCAUUUGUUUGCAGUACCUUAUACAGGAUCUAGCAUGAAUCCGGCUAGAUCACUUGGUCCUGCUGCUGUUCAGGCUUUCUGGGAAAACCAUUGGGUUUACUGGAUCGGCCCUCUGGUCGGAGGAGGAGUGGCAGGACUUUUAUACCGGUUCCUUUUCAAAGCGCAGAAGGAUGAAGAGAACUCGUACGAUCUAUAAGAAAUAUAAAAAACAUGUCAGACCAUCGUUGUUUUCAGUUCAAAAGUUUUCAGUAUUUAUUUAAACAAGAGAAACAAAGUUUGGACCUAUUCAGAAAUACCAAAGAUUCCAAUCCUUUGCAAAUAUUAUUACAAAAUAUUUUUUAACAAUCUGUAUCCAUCAUCAGUCUAAUCCAUUUUAAAAUUAAUCUAUAUGCAAACUAUUUUCUUUUUAUAAGUAUUAAUUGUUAAUUGAUUACUUGUUGAUUUAGUAGAGAGAUUUGUUUCAGAAAAACGAGUACCAAUUAAAAAGUCUUGUUCAUAAAUGUAUGUCACACAUUAAAUUUAAAAUUUUAUUUAAAUGAUUCUUAAUUUAGUAUUUUAUCUUCUGUUUAAAUUACUUAAAAGUGAUAUUUUACAACUAAAACGUAUUAACAAUUGUAUGUAAUGCUAAUGAAAUAUAUAUUUAUUUUUAUUGUAUAUAAA